UUUUUAUCCAUUAUAUUUUGAUAAUUCACAUAAAUUGUAAGUAAAAGUGUCUUGUUAUUGAGAUUUUAAUGUUUUUAUAGUUUCGGGUGUACUGUCUCCUGCUAUCCUUUUUUGGGUGCAGUCAGUAAGUUGCUGUUUUUAUUCUGCCCAACCUGCAUGUCUUGUGAGGGCGGACUGCCUGUCUUUGUCUCUUUUGUUUUGGUUGCCACUUCCAGUCGCCUCCCUUAAUGACACCAGAUGUCAUUUAUAACCUUAACGUUUAGGCGGACGGAGUAACUGGAUCCCAUUGCUGUAUGUGUGUGGGGCGGUGGACUUGGACUAGGACAGAGGACUGGGUUUGAUCUAGGACAGUCACAUCAAAAAUACUUUAUUGAUUCCAAAGAGGAAUUAAAUGUGGUAGCUCAUAUUAAUUCAGAUUGUUCAGAGUUACUGUAGAUGCUGGUGGCAGGAAGGAGCUCCUGUAGCAGUCUGUGUUACAGCAAAUCUGAAGAAGCCUCUGACUGAAGACACUCUGUUCUCCCAACAUGAUGGUCAGAAUUUACUUGGUUUCAUGAAGAAUCCUUCUUUGCAUCGAUAUCUCCAGAGGUGAGGAGAGGAGACAAACUUAGUUGAACCGGUUCGAACCGGUUCAGACCAGUUGAACCAGUUCAGACCAGUUGAACCUGUUCAUCACCAGUUUAAGCUGAGGGUCAGAGGAAGGUGGGAUGUCUGAACCGGUCUGAAUGUCUUCGGCUCUUUUGCUCCUUCCAGGCUUCCGUCCAUCUGAUCCUCCUUUUGCCUGAGAUCUUCCUGCAGUUUGUCCUCCAGGUUCUUCUUGUUCUUCUGUCUCUAAUCUGGACUGGAGCUGCUUCUGUUGCCCGUCUCCUUCCCUAAAGGCUCCACACAGAGCUUCAUGUCAGUCAUGGCCUCAUCUCCACGAGGCUGGCAGAGAGCGAUCCAAUCAGUUGCUUCAAACCAGCCUGCCGGGCCUCUUCAGCUCCCUGUCACCAUUUCAUAGCAGCCAUCUUCCCAGCAGGUCGUCUCUUCACCAGAGAUUCAUAUUCAGAGCAGAGAGGAACCAGAUCAUGGUCCCAUCUCCCCAGAGGAGGUUUUGGUUUGGAAACGUUAGCAUCCUUGACAUUAGCAUAAAACAAACAGGCCGGGACCUGGGCGGAGGACGGGUCAAACCGGUUAUUCAUUUUUAGCUAGCUCCACUGCACAGUCUCAGUUAGCUUACAGAAAGAGCGGAAAAUAAACUAAAGUAAAGUGACCAAUAGGAGUUAGGGUCAAGAGCGUAAAUCCCAUCUCAUUAUUGGGGGAACAUCAACAGGAACAUUUAAGACCAAUUCUGGCAAAGUUCCAGUGAAAUGUAACGUAAAAUCUAGCUUAAAAAGUUUUAAACUACAUUCAAGCUGCAGGACCAAAAAUGACUAGUAAAGCACAUCAAACAUGUUUUAUUAAACUGCCUGCAGAGAAAUGAAACUAAAAUUCAAAUGUUGCUUAGAAGUUUUUGUUCAGUCUGAUCUAAUUUCUGCUACACCUUUACAAACAUUUAAGGCUCUAAAUAAAAAAGCUUUAAUGAUUAACUGCUCUUAAUAAAGUUCAUCAUAAACAUUGAUUUAUUGAAUGGUUCUCAAUACAAGUUAUGGGCUAUUUAAAUUUGUUAAGUUGCUUUAUUUAUAAGCGUUUUUUUAGUUUGUCAUGUCCUGGAUGGCUGAGAACUAAUAAUUAGAUAGAAAUGAAUAUCUGGGGAAUAUCAUAAUUUAAACAUAACAUUUAAAGCACCAGGGUUUAUAUAGAAAAAUAUUUUGAUUUUAUUUUGUGGUUUUAAAGGCUCUACAUUGAAGACAGUGAGAAAUAAAAACAUAACUUUAGUUUUUUCUAUCUGUUCUGGGCUCCAACUCUGAGCUGCUUCACUUCCUCAGACCCUCCUCCAGUUUCAAACUCUUCUGAUUAACUAAAAGUUAAAGAGCUAAAUAUGAGUGAGAUGUUUGCUGCCUUUGACAAAAAAGGUCAAAGGUUAAAUCUAUGAAAGCAGUGUAGCAGUUUUGCUAAUAAGGCAGCUUAUGAUGAUUCAGUCAAAGUAAUGAAAUAACAAACUGCAGAAUGAUUUUUAUUGUUUAUGAGUUUAUUCUUAUUGAGCAGUGAAAGUAAAUAAAAUGUUUAUAUGUCUUUUGCUUGAAGUAUUUACUGACUGGAGGGUUUUUAUUUGUGCUGCAGAGCCACAGCUAGCAGCUAACAGCUAGCUAGCAGCUAACAGCUAGCUCCUCCCUCCAGCGGCUCUAACGGAGCCAGCUGUUGCUCCUCCCACACUUUGGACUGAACCAUUGUUCUAAUAAUGGGGGGGGGGGGGGACCUAAAAAUUAAUUAUUAUUUUUUUCUGA